rnacentral:rRNA from 1 species
AGAGUUUGAUCCUGGCUCAGAUUGAACGCUGGCGGCAGGCCUAACACAUGCAAGUCGAGCGGCAGCACGGGUACUUGUACCUGGUGGCGAGCGGCGGACGGGUGAGUAAUGCCUAGGAAUCUGCCUGGUAGUGGGGGAUAACGCUCGGAAACGGACACUAAUACCGCAUACGUCCUACGGGAGAAAGCAGGGGACCUUCGGGCCUUGCGCUAUCAGAUGAGCCUAGGUCGGAUUAGCUAGUUGGUGAGGUAAUGGCUCACCAAGGCGACGAUCCGUAACUGGUCUGAGAGGAUGAUCAGUCACACUGGAACUGAGACACGGUCCAGACUCCUACGGGAGGCAGCAGUGGGGGAUAUUGGACAAUGGGCGAAAGCCUGAUCCAGCCAUGCCGCGUGUGUGAAGAAGGUCUUCGGAUUGUAAAGCACUUUAAGUUGGGAGGAAGGGCAGUUACCUAAUACGUAUCUGUUUUGACGUUACCGACAGAAUAAGCACCGGCUAACUCUGUGCCAGCAGCCGCGGUAAA